AAAACUUCUGAAAUUCCCCUACUCAUAAAGCAAAUGUGUCAAUGGCUGUUACUGCUCAUACAGUAGGUGUGAAUGAGCAAAAAUUAAACUCUCUCUAGAUGUGCAAAGCUGGUAGAGACAUACCCCAAAAGACUUGCAGCUAUAAUUACAGCGAAAGGUGGCUCUAAAAAGUAUUGAUGCAGGGGGGCUGAAAACAAAUGCACGCCACACUUUUUAGAUUUUUAUUUGCUUGAAAUUUUGAAAACCAUGUAUCACUUUCAUACCACUUCACAAAUAUGUUCUACUUUGUGUUGGUCUAUCACAGAAAAUCUCAAAUAAUAACAUUUUAGUUUGUGGUUGUAAGGUGACAAAAUGUAUAAAAAUUUCCUGAUUGUGUUAUAUUUAUUUUUCAGAAACUAGAUUUUUGUUUUUAGAGGUUUUUAUGUGGCUCUCAUCCAACGCGGUAUUUCUUUAUUCACUUAAAACACAGAGGCUGCGCUGUGAAAACAGAAAACAUGAGUGUGCAGCCGGCAGAGGAAAUAAAUUUCUUGUUCACCGACUUUGAAACACCACAGCAGCAGCCCUCAUCGGCUCCAACCCUGCUCCCCUCCUCAUCCUCAUCCUGACCUGGUUCCUGCAUCGCUCCACUCACUGUAACAGAACACAAUAUCAGACGCGUGUUCCUAGCAGUGAACCCCAGGAAGGCUGCCGGUCCAGACGGAGUAACUGGCAAGGUGCUAAGAGCAUGUGCCCACCAGCUCACCCUCAUCUUCAACCUCUCACAAGAUCAGGCAGCCAUCCCACCCAGUCUAAAAUCAACCACAGUCAACCCAGUGCCAAAGAAGUCUCCCAUCACUAGCCUGAAUGAUUACCGCCCUGUGGCCCUCACGCCGGUAAUCAUGAAAUGCUUUGAAAGACUAAUACUUCAGCACAUCAAGAACUACCUGCCCCCAAACCUUGAUGCCAUCCCCAUAGCCCUCCACGCUGUGCUGAGCCACCUGGAACAGCGACAGAGCUACGUCCGAAUGCUCUUUGUGGACUACAGCUCAGCCUCCAAUACAAUCAUCCUGGAUAUUCUUAUCACUCAUGUGAAUGAGUUUUGUGUGUGUGAAUUAACCUGGCCUUGUGUUUCACACACAGGACUUAUCCUUGGCUCCCUCCCAUCAGUUUCACACACCUGGAGGUGAUGAGCUCACCUGUUGUUUGUUUUUAGUCUUUGCUUGGUUGUUUAACUAAUCACAGUUCCUCUGUACAGGAAUGCUCUCUCUUUCUGUCAGUACUCUUGCUGCAGUAUUUUGGAUUAACUUGAACAUCCUGAUAAUAAGCAGUUACAGUAGUCCAGGCUAGAAGUGAUAAAUGCUUGCUGGAGAGAACCCACAGAGACUUAGGGAGAACAGGACAACUCCACACAAAAACCAACCGGGCGUUGGAUUCAAACCAGGACCUUCUUACUGUGAAGGGACAGUGCUUGCCGCUGCACCACCACGCCACCCAGAGUCAGAACCAAAGCAUUCAAACUAGUUUAUAAAGUGGGUCCGCAUGCUCCAACAUUAGUGUGUGUGGUAUAAAAUAACAUGUUUGAUAGUGAAACACACUCAAACUAAACUUUGUAGCUCUGUGUGGACGAUUCACUAAAGAACACGAAUCGCAGACGGUUCUGUCUGCUCUUUUCUCUCUGUGUUAUAUCAGCACAUAUAUCACACUGCUGCUGACCUCACAGCUGGGCUGACCUCUGGCUCUCUGCUCUCUCAGAUAUGGCGACAUGGUAGCAAAGACCAUAAUGGGGAAGAUCUUCAGCUCCAUCUGCUCUCUAAGUGGCAUGCUGGUCAUUGCCCUGCCGGUCCCUGUCAAAUUUAGCCGAAUCUACCACCAGAACCAGUGAGAAGAAACGACCGCAAAAGUACAUGACAACAUCACAAGAUUCAGAUCAUCUGGAGAAAUCUCCUUGUGCAACUCAGUGCACCGUGCCUUCCACACAUGCAGGUUAAAGCACCAUCAUGGCUCCAUCGUCAGUGCCUAUGAGGCUGGCAGCUGGCACAUCUGGAAAGGCUCCAUUAGACCGGAACAGGUGCUCUCCUCAGCUGACAAACCAUCACAGACUGAUGUUAGAGAGGAAACAUGGACCCGUCCUACUUCACAGAUGUGUCGCUGCCAUGAGAUUCAACACAAGCUAAUAUUUUAAUUAAAAUGGUUCCUUUUCUCAGUUUAAACAUGUAAUGUUUCUGUGUUGUGAAUAAAAUGAGUUCAUGAGGUUUGAAAACCAUCACAUUCUGUUUGUAUUUAUGAUUUAGACAGAAAUACAAACAGACAGCAUCCCAGCUGUUUGGAACUGGGGUCGAAUAAAUACAUAAAUGAAGCACGAACACUAACAGUGUGAGCGCUGCAUACAGACUGUAUGUAAACACAUGGCUCCAGAGAUCAUGUGACACUGUACUCCCAUGCAGAGUCAGAGAGCAGGAAUCCAGAAUAUGUCCAGCUGUGGGAGGUCUGGGAACGACUCCCAAACAUGGACAGCUGGGAAAGGUCAUUUCUGUGACAUCCUGUUUCUGCCAUAUCAGUAACAUCAGUGCUGGAAGUGUAACUAUCCGAUCCUGCCAACCAGAACUUAAACAACAUAAAAACCAAAUUCCUCACACUGUGUUAGACUUCAGGGCCUGGUGUUUCCACUGCUGCUGUUCUACAUCUGAAGCUGAGCUGAGUUACUGCGUCACACCUGAAUUGUAUUUGAAUAAUAAAUGAUGUGCUGCUAGAGUUCCAUUCUUAUUAUGGAACAUCUUUUAAAAAAUAACCAUAAUUUAGUGUUAUUCAAAGUAACCAUGACUAUACAAGGCAGAUGAGUGCAGGUUAAACAGGUGGGUGUGUGAUGGACGGGUACAGAGCAGGUGAUGGUUGGAUUCAGCACCACAUCACUUUUAUACCAGCUUCAGACUGUCUGCAGCUGCAAACCAGCCACCACUGGAACAACUGCUCCUCUAUGAGCAUCAGCUGCUCCACCACAGCAGAUCCUGUUCCCCCUGGAACUCACAGUCAGUGGUUACUGUGAUGGCCAGCAGCAGCUGGAGGCUUCCUGAGGUUCAGACCAACCAGUUGUUUAUUCAGUAAUAUUGAAAAUCACAAAUCUCUUACGCACAGGUGGCACAUGGCCCCGUAUUAAACUAAACCUAGAAUCUAAAAUGAGAGCAGAUAUAACUGUCCAUCCCGUGGUGCCCCUGGAACCUUUAAAAAGGUACUCAGGAUGCUGGGCGACUCUUGGCCUGAACACCUAGAGGAGAUCUUCACUGAGGAGUAAACACAGGAAACGAUAAAAGAUGACGGAUGUCUCUGUGAGCGUGUUCUUUUAUACAAACACUGAGUGAUGCGUGUGUGCACAUGUACGGUUUAAAACAGGACCUGACGCAUUUCUCAGUCUUCACACUGCACUGCUGACUGUACUGCCUGCCCCUCAGAGCGACCCCUGCGUGGGGUCGGAGGGACCCCUGUGUGGGGUCGGGAUGCUUCUGCUGUCAUAUGUCCGUAAAUGCGCUGACUCAAGCUCCAGAUAUGAAGAGCUCCAUGGUCAUGGCCAUCAUGUCAGUGUGGUCACAUGACCAAGUGUGAAAGGAACAGCUCUCCAGAUGUGCCUUUCACACUUGGUCAUGUGACCGCACUGACACAAAUGCUAGCCUAUCCACAGCCUCACAGCAGGUUGUGAAACACACUGAAUAUAACCCACAGAUUAUUUCUCAGGGCCACAGGACAGACAGAAUGAUUUAUGAGCCGGGCUUGUCUGUUUUUGAAGGGACAGGCUUGGGUUCAGGUACGUAGGUUUGUGAGUAAAUAGCUCAAACAAAGAUGAAGUUCAGUUUGUCACACGCUGAAUCACACGACUCAUCAAACACAAGGAAACACGAGUUUGACGUGGUUUUGAUGUGAGAGCGGUGUAUGAUCAGAGACAGUCUCAGAGGCCUGUGCGAUACGUGAAAUGCUGUGAAACUACACAAUGAUCAGAUGAGUGUACAAUAAGCCGUGUGAUAUAAAAAUAGACGUGGCGAGUAAAGCGAGCCGGUCUGCCCUCACAGACGCUGGCAGCCUGAAUGAAACAGCGCUGGACAGUUGAGGCCGGAGCGACGAGAGUCAGCGACCUAUUAAUAAAGCGUACAGUGGUAGUAGAGGUAGGAUUUCAUGCUCGCUGGAUGUGCAGAGCUUUUCACUGCAAGCAGCUGACACCCUGUAUCCAUGUUACCGUCUCCGCUUUCUCCCAGCAGCUGCAGGAAUGUCACAGGUUUCACUCCAAAUCCAGAAGCUCCUCCCACAUCGCCCCAUCUCAAUAAUCUGAAAUAUCAUCACAGCAAACAGUUUGUGAGAGUUGGGUCAUCCACAGAUGCCCUCACCUGAGUAUCAGAACAAAGCUGUGAGGUUAUUUUAGUCCCAGCUGUUACAGUAAGGAGCCAUGAAAGUGCAGAGGAGAAGCCGUCCGUCUCAAACAGCUUUAAUAUUUUGUUUUAUUCCAGUGAAAACGCUGCAAUAACAAACAAUAAAUAUCCAACACCAUGCACAGACUCUUACACUUCCUGUGGGUGUACAGUCUCUCAGAGAGCUCCAUAAAUAAUCCAAUUCAAAAGUCAUCUAAUGUUCCAGUGGCUCCUGACACAGCUGUCAGGAAAACAUCUGGAGUCCGUCUCCAAGCGGCUGUGUCCAUAUGUUUGGUCUCAUUAGAGGCGGGGAGUCCAAACAGGAGGAAGUCUGUUCUCUAACAUGUUCUCUGACUUCAUCAUCCCCAAGAACAAAAUCAGCUCCUUUAGAGUUCACGAUGUCUGACAGGAACAGCCUCCUCUCUUCCUCACCUGUCUCACUUGUCUCCUCCAGACCUGCAGUAAGCCCCCAUUCAGUCCAUUCUCAGUUUACAGUCUGUUCUUCAGACGACUCACAGUCCACCAAGAGAAGAACGAACAGAGCAGCAGCUACACCCAAUACCAUCACCUGUCAGACUGUCAGAGUGGGAACGCCUUCACUCUGACCAA